GCCGAAUUAGCUCAUCUGGUAGAGCAACAGUUUUGUAAACUGUGGGUGGUCAGUUCGAGUCUGACAUUCGGCUCCA
rnacentral:tRNA from 1 species